GCUGGGCACGGUGGCACAUGCCUGUAAUCCCAGUGGCUCUGGAGGCAGAGGCAGGAGGAUCAUGAGUUCAAAGUCAGUCUCAGCAAAAAGCGAGGCUCUAAGCAACUCAGUGAGACCCUAUCUCUA
rnacentral:sRNA from 1 species